UCUAAGCACGAAACUUGCCCCGAGAUGAGUUCUCCCUGAGACUUAAAGUCUCCUGAAGGAACGUUGAAGACGACGACGUUGAUAGGCCGGGUGUGUAAGCGCAGCGAUGCGUUGAGCUAACCGGUACUAAUGAACCGUGAGGCUUAACCUUACAACGCCGAAG
rnacentral:rRNA from 1 species